UACGUAGGGAGCAAGCGUUGUCCGGAAUCAUUGGGCGUAAAGGGCGCGUAGGCGGCUCCGUACGUCCCGCGUGAAAGCUCCCGGCUCACCUGGGAGAGGUCGCGGGAUACGGCGGGGCUCGAGCACGGUAGGGGGCCAUGGAAUUCCCGGUGUAGUGGUGGAAUGCGUAGAGAUCGGGAGGAACACCAGUGGCGAAGGCGGUGGCCUGGACCGAUGCUGACGCUGAGGCGCGAAAGCGUGGGGAGCGAUCCGG
rnacentral:rRNA from 1 species